rnacentral:rRNA from 1 species
GCACAAGCAGUGGAGUAUGUGGUUUAAUUCGAAGCAACGCGAAGAACCUUACCAGGGCUUGACAUCCCUUGAAGCAGCUAGAGAUAGCUGUGUCCUUCGGGACAAGGAGACAGGUGGUGCAUGGUUGUCGUCAGCUCGUGUCGUGAGAUGUUCGGUUAAGUCCGCUAACGAGCGCAACCCUCGUCGUAUGUUAUAUGUGUCAUACGAGACUGCCGGUAAAAGCCGGAGGAAGGUGAGGAUGAUGUCAAGUCAGCAUGACCUUUAUAUCCAGGGCUACACACACGCUACAAUGGUCUGUACAAUGGGUAGCCAAGCCGCGAGGCGGAGCCAAUCCUGAAAGCAGGCCUCAGUUCAGAUUGCAGUCUGCAACUCGACUGCAUGAAGCCGGAGUUGCUAGUAACCGCAGGUCAGCAAUACUGCGGUGAAUACGUUCCCGGGUCUU